rnacentral:tRNA from 1 species
UCCCUGGUGGCUCAGAUGGUAAAGAAUCUGCCUGCAGUGCAGGAGACCCAGGUUCGAUCCCUGGGUUGGGAA